rnacentral:rRNA from 1 species
GACGAACGCUGGCGGCGUGCCUAAUACAUGCAAGUAGAACGAGUUGCGAACGGGUGAGUAAUGUCUGGGAAAAUGCCCGAUGGCGGGGGAUAACUACUGGAAACGGUAGCUAAUACCGCAUACCAGCGGAUGUGCCCAGAUGGGAUUGGCUAGGAGGUGGGGUAACGGCGCACCUAGGCGACGAACCCUAGCUGGUCUGAGAGGAUGACCAGCCACACUGGAACUGAGACACGGUCCAGACUCCUACGGGAGGCAGCAGUGGGGAAUAUUGCGCAAUGGGCGCAAGCCUGAUGCAGCCAUGCCGCGUGUAUGAAGAAGGCCUUCGGGUUGUAAAGUACUUUCAGCGGGGAGGCGUUACUCGCAGAAGAAGCACCGGCUAACUCCGUGCCAGCAGCCGCGGUAAUAC